rnacentral:rRNA from 1 species
UACGUAGGUGACAAGCGUUGUCCGGAUUUACUGGGCGUAAAGAGCGCGCAGGCGGUCGAUCAAGUCGAGUGUGAAAGCCCCCGGCUCAACUGGGGAGGGUCAUUCGAUACUGAUCGACUCGAAGGCAGGAGAGGGUAGUGGAAUUCCCGGUGUAGUGGUGAAAUGCGCAGAUAUCAGGAGGAACACCGGUGGCGAAGGCGGUGGUCUGGGCCGGCACUGACGCUGAGGAGCGAAAGCGUGGGGAGCGAACAGG